UACAGAGGUCCCAAGCGUUGUUCGGAAUUACUGGGCGUAAAGGGCGCGUAGGCGGUCUGCUAAGUUGGAUGUGAAAACUCUGGGCUUAACCCAGAGCCUGCAUUCAAUACUGACAGGCUAGAGUUCUGGAGGGGAUAGCGGAAUUCCUGGUGUAGCGGUGAAAUGCGUAGAUAUCAGGAGGAACACCGGUGGCGAAGGCGGGAUCCUGGGCCAGUACUGACGCUGAGGAGCGAAAGCGUGGGGAGCAAACAGG
rnacentral:rRNA from 1 species